CACGCAUAGGAUCAAUCACGGAUAACCAUUAUGUUGGUGAUAUCAGCUGUUCGCUUGUGGUCCAAACUCCACGUGCUGUCGCCCAAUUACUGCAGUACGGAGUCGCAGAUAUGGGCAAAUGAGGAUUACUACUGGAUCGAGUCCAUCUAAAAUAACGACGACAGUAGUUUUUAAUGGGCGUUCCAUUCAUCGAGCACCUUCUAAGGUGAGACAUGGGUAGGCCAUCAUCGUAUACAGGAUCUAACGCGAGCUAUAAAGUCUGAAGGAGACAGACUGAUAACACCGUCUGCUGGUCUGUCGUCAAGUUUACUGGCGUAAAUGAGUAACGCGCCUAAACGCAAGAGAGCGGGCCAAACCGUGAAAGUAAUAGAGAAGCUCAAUAUUGGGGUUUCCCUGCCAUGUUUACCCAAGUUACGCAAACGGAAACGGCAAACAGUCGCGUGAACAACAAAGCAAACAGAUGUGAGAUCACGUUUUUGCUAUGCAAAGUACAAUAGUGAUGAAAAUUAAUGACAAACAUAAUAUCGUACGACUCGUGAUUGUUGUGGCAUGAUAUGACGUCACGGAAAAGACCAAAACCGCAUGCAGCGGAGACGCAUAGAAUAGGAACCCGUAUUCUAAUCUGUUCGAAAACU